rnacentral:rRNA from 1 species
GACGAACGCUGGCGGCGUGCUUAACACAUGCAAGUCGAACGAUGAACCCGGAGCUUGCCCUGGGGGAUUAGUGGCGAACGGGUGAGUAACACGUGAGUAACCUGCCCUGGACUCUGGGAUAAGCGUUGGAAACGACGUCUAAUACCGGAUAGGACCUUGGAUCGCAUGAUCUGGGGUGGAAAGUUUUUUCGGUCUGGGAUGGACUCGCGGCCUAUCAGCUUGUUGGUGAGGUAAUGGCUCACCAAGGCGUCGACGGGUAGCCGGCCUGAGAGGGUGACCGGCCACACUGGGACUGAGACACGGCCCAGACUCCUACGGGAGGCAGCAGUGGGGAAUAUUGCACAAUGGGCGAAAGCCUGAUGCAGCAACGCCGCGUGCGGGAUGACGGCCUUCGGGUUGUAAACCGCUUUUAGUAGGGAAGAAGGGCUUCGGCUUGACGGUACCUGCAGAAAAAGGACCGGCUAACUACGUG